CCUACGGGAGGCUGCAGUAGGGAAUCUUGCUCAAUGGGGGAAACCCUGAUGCAGCAACGCCGCGUGGAGGAUGAAGGUUUUCGGAUUGUAAACUCCUGUUGUUAGAGAAGAUAGUGACGGUAUCUAACGAAUAAUCACCUGCUAACUCCGUGCCAGCAGCCGCGGUAAUACGGAGGGUGCAAGCGUUCCUCGGAAUUACUGGGCGUAAAGAGCGCGGAGGCGGGAUAGCAAGUCAGAUGUGAAAUCCUAUGGCUUAACCAUAGAACUGCAUGUGAAACUGUUAUUCUAGAGUAUGGGAGAGGAAGGUGGAAUUCUUGGUGUAGGAGUAAAAUCCGUAGAGAUCAAGAGGAAUACUCAUUGCGAAGGCGACCUGCUAGAACAUAACUGACGCUGAUGCGCGAAAGCGUGGGGAGCAAACAGGAUUAGAUACCCUUGUAGUC
rnacentral:rRNA from 1 species